rnacentral:rRNA from 1 species
UACGUAGGGUGCGAGCGUUUAAUCGGAAUUACUGGGCGUAAAGGGUGCGCAGGCGGUUAUAUAAGACAGAUGUGAAAUCCCCGGGCUCAACCUGGGAACUGCGUUUGUGACUGUAUGACUAGAGUACGGUAGAGAGGGGUGGAAUUCCUGGUGUAGCAGUGAAAUGCGUAGAUAUCAGGAGGAACAUCGAUGGCGAAGGCAGCCCC